rnacentral:rRNA from 1 species
GACGAACGCUGGCGGCGCGCUUAAUACAUGCAAGCCGAGCGAGAACCAGGGCUUCGGCCCUGGGGCCAGCGGCGAACGGGUGAGUAACACGUGGGUAAUCAACCCCCGACACCGGGAUAGCCCAGGGAAACUUGGAUUAAUACCGGAUGCCCCAUCUGGCUUUCGAGCCGGCUGGAACAGGGUAGCUUCGGCUUCCGGCUGAGGAGGAGCCCGCGGCGGAUUAGCUUGUUGGCGGGGUAAAGGCCCACCAAGGCGACGAUCCGUAGCUGGUCUGAGAGGACGAUCAGCCACACUGGGACUGAGACACGGCCCAGACUCCUACGGGAGGCAGCAGUGGGGAAUCUUGCGCAAUGGGCGAAAGCCUGACGCAGCGACGCCGCGUGCGGGAAGAAGGCCUUCGGGUUGUAAACCGCUUUCAGGAGGGACGAAGCCACUCGGGUUAAUAGCCCAGAGGGUGACGGUACCUCCAGAAGAAGCCCCGGCUAACUACGUGCCAGCCGCCGCGGUAAGAC